rnacentral:tRNA from 1 species
GAUUUUAUAGUUGAAUACAACAGUGGUUUUUCAGGCCACAGGUUCUGGUUGAACUCCAGGUAAAAUUG